rnacentral:rRNA from 1 species
GUCGAGCGAGGUUACUGUUUUGGAUCCCUUCGGGGUGAAGAAGCUUUAACCUAGCGGCGGACGGGUGAGUAACGCGUGGGUAACCUACCCCAAAGUCCGGGAUAACAGCGGGAAACCGCUGCUAAUACCGGAUGCCUUUACCUUGGGGCAUCUUGAGGUAAAGAAAGGUAACGCUUUGGGAUGGGCCCGCGUCCCAUUAGCUAGUUGGUGAGGUAACGGCUCACCAAGGCGACGAUGGGUAGCCGGCCUGAGAGGGUGGACGGCCACACUGGGACUGAGACACGGCCCAGACUCCUACGGGAGGCAGCAGUAGGGAAUAUUGCGCAAUGGACGGAAGUCUGACGCAGCGACGCCGCGUGAGCGAUGAAGGUCUUCGGAUCGUAAAGCUCUGUCCUUGGGGAAGAAGGCGAAAGCUUGACGGUACCCAAGAAGAAAGCCCCGGCUAACUACGUGCCAGCAGCCGCGGUAAUACGUAGGGGGCGAGCGUUGUCCGGAAUUACUGGGCGUAAAGGGUGCGUAGGCGGCCCUUUAAGUCGGAUGUGAAAGCCCGCGGCUUAACCGCGGAAUGGCAUUCGAAACUGGAGGGCUUGAGUGUCGGAGAGGGUAGUGGAAUUCCCAGUGUAGCGGUGA